ACGCCGCGGAUCCGCUUUUGUGCCUCUGAGGCGACUAAACAGAUGAAUAACGAGCAAAGUCUCCCGAAAGUAAGCUAGCAGCUUUUCUCAGCUCUAAAAAAGUUAACUGAAAUGAGAGGUGCAUGUAAAAACCCACACCCAAAGAUGGGGCCACACUUUUAUUACUCUGAAUGACAACGACGUCUUUUUAAAAGCAACUAACUCCCACACUCACACACGCGCGCGCGCGCGCGCGCGCUCACACACACACACCAGCACACUUGCUCACACAAACUACACAAACUUUAAGCCUUGUGAAGCGUGUUUUGGAAAUUUUGGUAAAGAAAGAAGGAAGGAAGAUGUAUUUGAGGCAGAUUUCUAGCUGGCAAGAGGUGAGAAGGGUAAAACCCGGAUUUAUUUAGUUUUAGAUUUUUUUUUGUUUUGGUAUUUUUUGUUUGUUUUUUGUUUUGUUUUGUUUUGUUUUUGUUUUUUGUUUUUUGUUUUUUUUAGCCGCAGCUAGUUUGAAAGUUGGUUUCUGGCAAGAGGCAAGAAAAGGCUGCAGCACUAAAGGAAGAAUCAAAGUGUUAAAGGACGCUCAAAAUGUAGUAUUGUGGCAGGUCGGGCUUGACCCAUUUGAAUGAAAGUAUUUAAGACCUAGAGACUGAGUAAUACAGACAACCAGGAGAAAGAUCUUCCUCACUGACUAGUGGUCUUUGGAACAUACUUCACACAUUCAGCUUCUCAGAGAAAACCAUCAAUAUUUGCCAUAGUGAAGAAAAAGAAGGUCAGAGAAGCAUUUUCCAAGCUUUUGGAUAUUUAGCAGAAGAGUUAAGCAGAGUCAAGUACAUCUGGCAGGCCCUAGUGAAACAUAUGGCUACUAACUCAUAUAUUUUAUGAUUAAAAUUGUUUUAUGAUUUGUAAGCACUUGCAAAGUCACAAAUAAAUUUAUUUACACAUUGAAUAAAUCAUUUUCAUUUAAGUCACCCUGUUCCUUUAUGAUACUUACUAAACUUUGUUAUAAAAAAAAAUAUUUGUUAUUGUUUACAAUCCUUGUUCCUAUACUCGACUGUAAGGUCCAUGAAGACAGGAGUGUUUUUUGUUCACUGCUGUAAACCUAGGGAUUUAAUUUACUGCUAUAAACCCAAUACUUAAUAAAUACAUGAAAUUACUUUGUUAAGACUUGGACAUCUAAGUAUGAUAACUACAUUGGAUUUUCAAAGUAAAGAACUCAUUUCUGGAAA